AAUCUUCCGCAAUGGACGAAAGUCUGACGGAGCGAUGCCGCGUGAGUGAUGAAGGUCUUCGGAUCGUAAAACUCUGUUGUUAGGGAAGGACAAGUAUCUGAGUAAUAUGCCGGUACCUUGACGGUACCUAACCAGAAAGCCACGUCUCACUACGUGCCAGCAGCCGCGGUAAUCCGUAGGUGGCAAGCGUUAUCCGGAAUUAUUGGGCGUAAAACGCGCGCAGGCGGUUUCUUAAGGCUGAUGUGAAAGCCCACGGCUCAACCGUGGAGGGUCAUUGGAAACUGGGAAGCUUGAGUGCAGAAGAGGAGAGUGGAAUUCCAUGUGUAGCGGUGAAAUGCGUAGAGAUAUGGAGGAACACCAGUGGCGAAGGCGACUCUCUGGUCUGCAACUGACGCUGAGGCGCGAAAGCGUGGGAGCGAACA
rnacentral:rRNA from 1 species